GNAUUUAUUGGGCGUAAAGCGAGCGCAGGCGGUUAGAUAAGUCUGAAGUUAAAGGCUGUGGCUUAACCAUAGUACGCUUUGGAAACUGUUUAGCUUGAGUGCAGAAGGGGAGAGUGGAAUUCCAUGUGUAGCGGUGAAAUGCGUAGAUAUAUGGAGGAACACCGGUGGCGAAAGCGGCUCUCUGGUCUGUAACUGACGCUGAGGCUCGAAAGCGUGGGGAGCGAACAGGAUUAGAUACCCUGGUAGUCCACGCCGUAAACGAUGAGUGCUAGGUGUUAGGCCCUUUCCGGGGCUUAGUGCCGCAGCUAACGCAUUAAGCACUCCGCCUGGGGAGUACGACCGCAAGGUUGAAACUCAAAGGAAUUGACGGGGGCCCGCACAAGCGGUGGAGCAUGUGGUUUAAUUCGAAGCAACGCGAAGAACCUUACCAGGUCUUGACAUCCCGAUGCCCGCUCUAGAGAUAGAGUUUUACUUCGGUACAUCGGUGACAGGUGGUGCAUGGUUGUCGUCAGCUCGUGUCGUGAGAUGUUGGGUUAAGUCCCGCAACGAGUGCAACCCUUAUUGUUAGUUGCCAUCAUUCAGUUGGGCACUCUAGCGAGACUGCCGGUAAUAAACCGGAGGAAGGUGGGGAUGACGUCAAAUCAUCAUGUCCCUUAUGACCUGGGCUACACACGUGCUACAAUGGCUGGUACAACGAGUCGCAAGUCGGUGACGGCAAGCUAAUCUCUUAAAGCCAGUCUCAGUUCGGAUUGUAGGCUGCAACUCGCCUACAUGAAGUCGGAAUCGCUAGUAAUCGCGGAUCAGUACGCCGCGGUGAAUACGUUCCCGGGCCUUGUACACACCGCCCGUCACACCACGAGAGUUUGUAACACCCGAAGACGGUGAGGUAACCUUUUAGGAGCCANCCGCCUAAGG
rnacentral:rRNA from 1 species